rnacentral:lncRNA from 1 species
UCAUAUUUAAGCCAACAGGAGCUACAACAUCAUCAUCAUCACACCAGCAGCUACUAGUAGCGGUCUCCAGUCUUCCUUCAACCCUCUGUCCUUCAAGGCAAGGUAUACCCUGCAAGUAAACGUAAGCAGAUUGUUUUGAAAGGAAUCUGAUGAAGAAAACCAGAGAUAGCAAAACCUUACAGUACUCAAACUCACCACCACAUUUGUAUCCCACAGGGCGAUCUGCCAGGUUGCACCGCAUGGGAAUUGUGAUUGCCACUUCAGGAUCGACUCCAGCACUCUUUGCAGUAUCCGACAGCAUAACAGCACAGAGGCA